GACGAACGCUGGCGGCGUGCUUAACACAUGCAAGUCGAACGAAGAGCGAUGGAAGCUUGCUUCUAUCAAUCUUAGUGGCGAACGGGUGAGUAACGCGUAAUCAACCUGCCCUUUAGAGGUGGACAACAGUUGGAAACGACUGCUAAUACCGCAUACGACCUAAACUCGGCAUCGAGGAUAGAUGAAAGGUGGCCUCUACAUGUAAGCUAUCACUGAAGGUGGGGAUUGGGGCGGAUUAGCUAGUUGAGGGGUAACGGACCACCAAGGCGAUGAUCAGUAGCAGGUCGGCGAGGAUGAGCGGCCACCCUGGGAGUGAGACACGGCCCAGACUCACACGGGAGGCAGCCGUGGGGAAUCUUCCGCAAUGGACGAAAGACUGACGGAGCAACGCCGCGUGAGUGAUGACGGCCUUCGGGUUGUAAAGCUCUGUUAAUCGGGACGAAAGGGCUUCUUGCGAAUAGUGAGAAGGAUUGACGGUAACGGAAUAGAAAGCAACGGCUAACUACGUG
rnacentral:rRNA from 1 species